rnacentral:rRNA from 1 species
GUGUCAGCAGCCGCGGUAAUACGUAGGACCCAAGCGUUGUCCGGAUUUACUGGGUGUAAAGGGUGCGUAGGCGGAUAGGUGCGUCAGAGGUGAAAUUUCCUGGCUUAACCGGGAGGGUGCCUUUGAUACGGCUUGUCUUGAGUGCGAGAGAGGAUGAUGGAAUUCCUGGUGUAGCGGUGAAAUGCGUAGAUAUCAGGAGGAACACCUGUGGCGAAGGCGGUCAUCUGGCUCGUAACUGACGCUGAGGCACGAAAGCGUGGGGAUCAAACAGGAUUAGAUACCCUUGUAGUCC